CAGAGGGGAGGCAAGCGUUGCUCGGAAUUACUGGGCGUAAAGGGCGCGUAGGCGGGAUGGCAAGUCGGUCGUGAAAUCCCUCGGCUCAACCGAGGAACGUCGAUCGAUACUGCUGUUCUUGAGGAUUGCAGAGGAGACUGGAAUUCCCGGUGUAGCGGUGAAAUGUGUAGAGAUCGGGAGGAACACCGGUGGCGAAGGCGGGUCUCUGGGCAAUUCCUGACGCUGAGGCGCGAAAGCGUGGGGAGCAAACGGG
rnacentral:rRNA from 1 species